UGAUGAGCUGUGGUGCAAAUUAUUGGUUGUCAAACAGUCUCCUUUGGAUUCUAUGGCAGUGACACAUGUUACCCUGUUACAUGACAACUAAGCAUGACACAUGGUGCAAACUAUUCCUUUUUAAAACCCUAUUAACUCAACCAAUAACUUACGUCAUGUUUUACAAUAAUUGGAGCAUCUUUAACUUCUGACUCCUGUACAAACUGAA